rnacentral:rRNA from 1 species
CCUACGGGAGGCAGCAGUAGGGAAUUUUCGUCAAUGGGCGCAAGCCUGAACGAGCGAUGCCGCGUGAGUGAAGAAGGCCUUCGGGUCGUAAAGCUCUGUUGCGGGGGAAAAAAAGCAGCAUCAGGAAAUGGGUGCUGACUGAUGGUGCCCCGCCAGAAAGUCACGGCUAACUACGUGCCAGCAGCCGCGGUAAUACGUAGGUGGCGAGCGUUAUCCGGAAUGAUUGGGCGUAAAGGGUGCGCAGGCGGUCCGGCAAGUCUGGAGUGAAACGCAUGGGCUCAACUCAUGAAUGGCUUUGGAAACUGGAGGACUGGAGAGCAGGAGAGGGGGGUGGAACUCCAUGUGUAGCGGUAAAAGGCGUAGAUAUAGGGAAGAACACCAGUGGCGAAGGCGGCCGCCUGGACUGUUGCUGACGCUGAGGCACGAAAGCGUGGGGAGCAAAUAGGAUUAGAUACCCCUGUAGUC